ensembl:lncRNA
GCGACUAACCUCUGUCUAUGUGUGUGUGUGUGUGUGUGUGUGUGUGUGUAUGUGUGUGUUCCUCAAAUAUCUCUGCGGAUCAGGAUCAGACUGACCUGAGAGUUUCAACAUGGCUGCUGUGUGGUUCAAGGGUGUGAUAUUUCGCAUUUGUUUGGAUUGCAAUGAUACCGUUAAUAAAUUAUUUCAUAAAUGCUUUACAAAUUCCACGAGCAUUGUCCACCGGAGCCACUAUAGUCACGUGCGCACCAGAGCCAAUCACUGCAGAGCCCACCGCGACCCCCCCCACCUUAAGAAACAAGCAGACUUAUAACUGCAGCGGCGCGAGCUGGACCGGGAUUUUGCCGGCGGUUCGGUCCCGUUCUGUUCUGUGCAUCUAAACUGACUGUUGUGGAUUAAUGAGACUAAAAGAGUCCGGAUCGAGUCUGUUCGGGUCUGAGGAGAUCCGGAGACGCGCGGACAACAAAGUGGAAUCAGAUCUGUGGAUGUUCUUGUGUACGCUAGCUAGCUGCUAGCCGCUAGCUACACAGCCCACCUCCCGAUCGAGGCGAUGGACCGGACUCACCGGCACGUCCAAAACCGGACUUAGGGAGACACUUUUGAGUUUACAAAAACUGCAAGCUGCCAGAAAAAGGGAGCUAAGCUGUGGCACCCACUGGACUCUUCACGUACUGUUCUGGUGGCUCGAUGGGACGGUGUUUGGAUCCCGGGUCAGCACUACGAGGACAGGAUCGACCUGAACGCGUCGGUGGUCUUGAAGAACAUAAACUUCAACGACAACGGGCUGUUCGAGUUGAGCUGUGAGGAGACACUGACCCAGCUGGACGUUGUCAGAGCCUCUGAAGUGUCAGUGAGUGCAGGUGGAGCUGUCAGCUUCUCCUUCUUCUACGUCACCUCAGGAGCGCAGGGGAAGUUCAGGCUGGUCAGAAACAGGGAGACAGUGUGUGAGCUGGACCUGUCCUCCGGGACCAUCACAGAUGGGACCGGCUCUGAGGAGAGACUCUCUCUGCCCUCUGAUUGGAGGAGACACGGAGACCUGACUCCGACCCUGCAGCGGGUGAAGCCAGAGGACCAGGGUGAUUACUUUGCAUAUGUGGAGGGAAAAGAUGGAAAGAGAAGAAGUCUCUCUGCCUGGAGGAUCAAGGUCCUGGAUCAAGACCCGGAUCAGACCACCGCCACACCUCAAACGCAGCGACCAGCUGGAGAACAGAAGGGAACCUGCAGUGGGACCGUCAGCGCUGUAGCGGUGUCCAUGUUUGUGGCUGCUGGUCUAGCAGGCUUCGGUUUAUGUUGGUGGAUAAAAUCCUGCAGACCGAGUGGACCACAUGGUUCCUCUGGACCCGGUGCUGAAGGACCCUCCACAGACGUGGAGAUGAGUCUUGUAAAGGAGGAGAACCCUGCUGGUUCUGAAGAGGAUGUGGGCCCUUCAAGGCUUCAUGGCUAGACAAUGGCUGAUCAUUAGGGGUGAUCAAUCAGCCCAAUUUCCAGAUUCGAUUCCGAUUAUUGAAGUCUCGAUUCCAUUACAAAUCGAUUUUCGAUCAUUAACGAUUAUUGAUCUUCCAUUUAACAUCAGUCAGCUGCUGAAUUAUCUUACUUCUCUUGUGAUUAACACCUCACAGCACCUUCAACAUUGUGUAGUGUAACUGUAAUAUCCAAAUUAUUAUGUUUUACUUUGUUUUAAAUUCACUGUUUAAAGAAAGUUGCCAAGCUCAGCAGCUGGACUCAUGUUAGAAGCACUGUCGGUGAUGAGAACCAGGUCGUGUUUCUCAGUUCCCCACUCGUCUGCCAUUGCUUUGAGAAACUCACACAUAUUUGCGCCUGUGUUGCUAUCAUCCAUGGCUCUCGUCUGAAGUACGUAGGACAUUAGCUUCCUUUAACUGCUGACAUUAUGAGGUGUAACGGUCACAUAUGAGACUGUAGCUCUGGAUGUCCAGGCAUCGCAGGUUAUUGCUACUCUGUGAGCAGAGUUGAGGGACUCUUGCACGGAAAGCUUUGUCUGCUUGUAAAGAUUUGGAAUCAAUUUAAGCGUGAAAAAGCUCCGGGAUGGAAUAACAUAUCUUGGCUCCAGACUGUGGACCAUGUAGCGGAAGCCAGUAAGAGGAGGACUCCAGUUUGUUUUACAAUUUAAAACAUUUUAUAAAAAAAUGUAAAAAUGGAUCUUUGGAAAUUUAAUAAUCGACUCAUAAUCGUCAACAUUAUAAUUGCGAUUAAUCGAUAAUCGAUUUUCUUCACCACCCCUACUGAUCAUGUCCCCAUCAGAGACUCCGCCUCUCUCUCCACCUUCAAGGAAUCUCUAAGAACUGAUCCCACAUCACAUUUCCUUCAAUUCCAGAUGUUGAUGAUGUGGUGUGAUACUGCUUUCCUUAUCCGUCAAAUUAUUCCACAAUCAGACCUUGUAAAUCCGCUCAAAGGUUAAAAUCCAAAUUAAAGGAGAAACUGUUCAGAGACUAAGUCCAAAUCAGAGGCGAGGCAGCAGGUCUUCAGUUCAAAAAGGUGUUUAUUCCAAGAGAAGUUAUAAAUCCAUGAGGUAUCCCGGGGCAACUGAGUAAUCUCCCCGGAUCACCCCCUUUUAUACCUGGGGUCAAUGUCACCAACGCCCCUCUUGGUCCACCCCCCUCGUCAUAAUCACGCGAGACUAUCAUCCUCAUUUUUUAAUGUGUUCCUUAAUGCCUACAAAGUGUCUCACCCAGGGCCUCUAUCUGUGGCCUUGAGUGCUUCCUCACUCCAGCCCUGUUAUUAUAAAGGCAGCAUCUGGCCUCGGUCUUACAUCAGGCUCAUAUUCACUGUUAGCACACAACUGCAAGGUGUAUUUCUCAAAUCAGUUUAUAUGCAUGAUCAUGAUCAGCUUAUACUUGCCACUACAAUGACCGCUUGAAGAGAUGAAUGUUUUGUAUCAUACGAUGUGCCAUCGUCUGCUCUUGAAUGCACUGCUGUAAAUAAAUCUCUAUUUUCUCAAAAUACACUAUGUUUUUCUGUGUUCUGCUUCCUAAAUGAAAUGUAUAUUGUUUUUGUAUAGUAGUGAACGGAGAGAGAAAUAAUUGAUUGAUCUCAGUGGAAGUGUGUCAUGAAUCACACAGAGAAUAUAUGUGUGAUUUUUGUCUUUUGUUCUUCUCUAUGAACUCAAACACUCAAAGACUUACAGCAGUAGUUACUCUCUAACCAAGACACCACAGCACACAUACACACACACACACACACACACACACUCAGGUAACAGAGGGGUAUUUAAG